GACGAACCGUGCGAACGUUGUUCGGAAUCACUGGGCUUAAAGGGCGCGUAGGCGGGUGCUCAAGUCCGGGGUGAAAUCCCACAGCUCAACUGUGGAAUUGCCUCGGAUACUGGGUGUCUCGAGGGUGGUAGGGGUAUGCGGAACUAUCGGUGGAGCGGUGAAAUGCGUUGAUAUCGAUAGGAACUCCGGUGGCGAAGGCGGCAUACUGGACCACUUCUGACGCUGAGGCGCGAAAGCCAGGGGAGCGAACGGG
rnacentral:rRNA from 1 species